rnacentral:rRNA from 1 species
CAGUCGCCGCGGGAAUACGAAGGGGGCUAGCGUUGUUCGGAAUUACUGGGCGUAAAGGGCGCGUAGGCGGCCAUUCAAGUUAGAUGUGAAAGCCCUGGGCUCAACCUAGGAAUUGCAUUUGAUACUGUUUGGCUUGAGUUCGGGAGAGGUGAGUGGAAUUCCCAGUGUAGAGGUGAAAUUCGUAGAUAUUCGGAAGAACACCAGUGGCGAAGGCGGCUCACUGGCUCAUUCUAGACGCUGAGGUGCGAAAGCGUGGGGAGCAAACAGGAUUAGAUACCCCAGUAGUCCCUGUCUCUUAUAC